rnacentral:rRNA from 1 species
GACGAACGCUGGCGGCGUGCUUAACACAUGCAAGUCGAACGGAAAGGCCCUGCUUUUGUGGGGUGCUCGAGUGGCGAACGGGUGAGUAACACGUGAGUAACCUGCCCUUGACUUUGGGAUAACUUCAGGAAACUGGGGCUAAUACCGGAUAGGAGCUCCUGCUGCAUGGUGGGGGUUGGAAAGUUUCGGCGGUUGGGGAUGGACUCGCGGCUUAUCAGCUUGUUGGUGGGGUAGUGGCUUACCAAGGCUUUGACGGGUAGCCGGCCUGAGAGGGUGACCGGCCACAUUGGGACUGAGAUACGGCCCAGACGCCUACGGGAGGCAGCAGUGGGGAAUAUUGCACAAUGGGCGGAAGCCGGAGGCAGCAACGCCGCGUGCGGGAUGACGGCCUUCGGGGUGUAAACCGCUUUCGCCUGUGACGAAGCGUGAGUGACGGUAAUGGGUAAAGAAGCACCGGCUAACUACGUG